rnacentral:misc_RNA from 1 species
AAGUCGUAACAAGGUCUCCGUUGGUGAACCAGCGGAGGGAUCAUUACAGAGUUACUACUCCAAACCCAUUGUGAACCUUACCUAUGUUCUGUUGCCUCGGCGGCGUCGGUCAGCGCCCCUCUGAAAAGAGGACGAUGCCCCUCCCGCCGGCAGCACCAAACUCUUGAAUUUUACAGCGGAUUACAGUUCUGAUUUGAAAACAAAAAACAAGUUAAAACUUUCAACAACGGAUCUCUUGGUUCUG